GCAGGGGUUGCGGAGUCUGGUAUCGCGCAGGACUUAAGAUCCUGUGGCCUAGCGCCUUCGUGAGUUCAAAUCUCACCCCCUGCA
rnacentral:tRNA from 1 species